CCUACGGGAGGCAGCAGUGGGGAAUAUUGGGCAAUGGAGGCAACUCUGACCCAGCAAUGCCGCGUGAGUGAUGAAGGUAAUUUUAUUGUAAAGCUCUUUUCUUUGGAACGAAUAAAUGACGGUACCAAAGGAAUAAGCCCCGGCUAACUACGUGCCAGCAGCCGCGGUAAUACGUAGGGGGUAAGCGUUGUUCGGAAUGACUGGGCGUAAAGGGGGUGUAGGUGGGUUGAUAAGUUAGAUGUGUAAUACCCAGGGCUUAACUCGGGUGCUGCAUCUAAAACUGUUAGACUUGAGUACUGGAGAGGAUAGUGGAAUUCCUAGUGGAGCGGUGGAAUGCGUAGAUAUUAGGAGGAACACCGGUGGCGAAGGCGGCCUGCUGGACUGCAACUGACGUUGAGGCCCGAAAGCGUGGGGAGCAAACAGGAUUAGAUACCCCUGUAGUC
rnacentral:rRNA from 1 species